CACGUAGGGGACGAGCGUUGUCCGGAUUCAUUGGGCGUAAAGGGUGCGCAGGCGGGACAUUAAGUCAGGGGUGAAAGACGGUUGCUCAACAAUCGCAGUGCCUUUGAUACUGGUGUUCUUGGGUGACCUUGAGGUAGGCGGAAUGGGUGGUGUAGCGGUGAAAUGCAUAGAUACCACCCAGAACUCCGAUUGCGAAGGCAGCCUACUGGAGGUUAACCGACGCUCAGGCACGAAAGCGUGGGGAUCAAACAGG
rnacentral:rRNA from 1 species